rnacentral:sRNA from 1 species
AAGAUUUAAAUCUUCUAAAUCCUUGCUUUUAGAGUUAUUAUGUCAUUACCUAAAAGGCUCAAAAUAUAAAAAA